UGCUCUGGGAUGGCUCAGUCAGUAGAGCCUGAGACACUUAAUAUCAGGGUUGUGGGUUUGAGGCCCAUGUUGGGUAA